rnacentral:rRNA from 1 species
UGGGGAAUUUUGGACAAUGGGCGAAAGCCUGAUCCAGCAAUGCCGCGUGUGUGAAGAAGGCCUUCGGGUUGUAAAGCACUUUUGUCCGGAAAGAAAUCCUUGGCUCUAAUACAGUCGGGGGAUGACGGUACCGGAAGAAUAAGCACCGGCUAACUACGUGCCAGCAGCCGCGGUAAUACGUAGGGUGCAAGCGUUAAUCGGAAUUACUGGGCGUAAAGCGUGCGCAGGCGGUUUGCUAAGACCGAUGUGAAAUCCCCGGGCUCAACCUGGGAACUGCAUUGGUGACUGGCAGGCUAGAGUAUGGCAGAGGGGGGUAGAAUUCCACGUGUAGCAGUGAAAUGCGUAGAGAUGUGGAGGAAUACCGAUGGCGAAGGCGAGCCCCUGGGCAAUACUGACGCUCAUGCACGAAAGCGUGGGGGAGCAAACAGGAUUAGAUACCCUGGUAGUCCACGCCCUAAACGAUGUCAACUAGUUGUUGGGGAUUCAUUUCCUUAGUAACGUAGCUAACGCGUGAAGUUGACCGCCUGGGGGAGUACGGUCGCAAGAUUAAAACUCAAAUGAAUUGACGGGGUCAUAGCUGUUUCCU